rnacentral:rRNA from 1 species
UGGGGAAUAUUGGACAAUGGGCGAAAGCCUGAUCCAGCAAUGCCGCGUGAGUGAUGAAGGCCUUAGGGUUGUAAAGCUCUUUUACCCGGGAUGAUAAUGACAGUACCUGUAGAAUAAGCUCCGGCUAACUACGUGCCAGCAGCCGCGGUAAUACGUAGGGAGCAAGCGUUAUCCGGAUUUAUUGGGUGUAAAGGGUGCGUAGACGGGAGUCUAAGUUAGUUGUGAAAUCCCUCGGCUUAACCGAGGAACUGCAACUAAAACUGGAUUUCUUGAGUGCGGGAGAGGAAAGUGGAAUUCCUAGUGUAGCGGUGAAAUGCGUAGAUAUUAGGAGGAACACCAGUGGCGAAG